GCGGCCGCCGCUCCGGAUGCGGAAAUAACGUAUAACUGACGUUCGGAGCGCCGGCCGCUCGGCGGGGCGGUGUCGUCGUGGUGGUCCGGUUCCGCGCAGCUCAGCUUCCUUCCCCGCGGCGGGCUCAGGGCGGUCCUGAGCCGCCCCGGGGCAGCGCAAAGGGCGAUGAGGGGCCGGGGCCGCGGCCCCGAGACACGGGCAGACGCUUAUGUUCAUGCGUGCAUGCAGGUGACACCGAGCUGGCCGGGAGUGCGGUCUGCUCGAGGGCAGGGAGGCUCUGCAGAGGGAUCUGGACAGGCUGGGUCCAUGGGCCGAGGUCAGCUAUAUGGGGCUUAACAUGGACAAGUGCUGGGGCCUGCACUUGGGUCACAACAACCGCAGGCAACGCUACAGACUUAGGGAAGAGCGGCUGGAGAACUGCCUGGCAGAGAAGGCUCGGGGGUGCUGGUUGACAGCCAGCUGGACAUGAGUCAGCAGUGUGCCCAGGGGGCCAAGAAGGCCAACAGCAUCCUGGCUUGUAUCAGGAAUAGUGUGGCGAGCAGGGCAGUGAUUGUGCCCCUGUACUCGAUGCUGGUGAGGCUCCACCUUGAAUACUGGCUUCAGUUUUGGGCCCCUCGGUACAAGGACAUUGAGGUGUUGGAGCGUGUCCUGAGAAUGGCAACGAAGCUGAGGGAGAUGGACUGGGGAUGAAGGGGGCGCCAGGGGUGCAGGAGGUAGCAGGUGGCCUGGGACAGCGGGCAGUGCGAUGGUGGGUCUCUGCAGGGCUGGCUGCUGUGGCACAGUGCUGGGGCUGUGUGUCACAGGGAAGGGAAGGCAUGGAAGGAGGGGGUGCCCCUGGUUUUCAGCACUCUUGUCAGGAUGGGCGCCCUCGCCACCUUGGUGCAUCGGCUGGGCAAAGACAGAGGUAAAAGCAGCGAGGAGUAAUCUGCCAGCAGUGGCUGAUGUGUUCACCUUCCUGGGGAAUAAUGGCUUCCAGGCAGAGGUGUGAACUGCACAGUUCAGUGAGCUCUGCUUCCGAGGAAAAAAAAACAACUAAAAUCACAGCAGGGUGGUCUUUCUCGGGGUCGUACUUUCUCCUGCUUUAAUGAAUUUGUAUUUUAUUCUCCAGAAAUUAUGCAGAUUAUUCACUACUUUCAGCUUUUGUUCCUUAGGAAAUAAAAUUCUGAGAGCCAG